UAGCCGGGUGGCGCGGGGCGUGGGUGCGGCGGACUGUGUGCCUCGCCGCGGGGCCGGACGGGGUCGUCGCCCCCUGCCCCGCCCCGGGGCCACGCUGCCGAGGGUCUGGGCCGGACCGUGCGUGGCCCGGCGCAGGGCGUGACCCGCCCUUGGGCCGGGGGAGGGGGCGAGGACGUCUCCCAAGCUGGGGUUCCCGGGUCCGUGUCGCAGACCCUAGGAGGACCGGUGGGGGAGCAGGCUAGCAAAGUUCGCGGCGCUGAGGGCGAAGGGCUGUGGUUUCCUGAGGCGCUCAGGUGAACCUCGGCGGCCCGCGGCCCGGGUAGCGGAAGUGGCCUCAGCCGAGGGACGAAGCGGCGUUGGCCCGCCCAGCUCCCUGGUCGCUGCACCCCGGGAGCCCCGCGCGGGGAGCCCGAGACACCUGGCCUUCAAGGAACUUGAGCCCUUGCCGAGGCCAGAGCCCUGCGCUGGAAUUGGCCGUGAUUUUCAUGGGUUUGACCGCGUCCCCGCUGUGAGCUCAGAAAAGUCGAUAAUCAGGGCUCAGUCAUGGAUACUAGUGUACAUCUUCAUCACUUGAUACAUCACAUUGUUGAGGAUUAAGAAAGGGACUUUCUCCAUUUCCCAGUGACAGAAAGCCAACAAUAUCCAUUUGUGAAAGAGCUGGAUCUAAAGCUUAGGAGACAUAGACCAUGCCAAAUGAGGCUGCCUUGGCAAUGUCCAGCAUUGACUCAACAAAUGUUCAUUGAGUGCCUACCAUGACCCACGCUGUGCUGGGAGCACGGGAAAGGUAUGUGCGUGAGAACACAUGACUCAAGCCUCCUGGAGAGGGCAAGACCAGGGCUGCAUCCACCAGUGGUCUCAUCACGCUCAGCCUUGCCUUCGUGUCCCCAGGUGAGGAUUCCAUGAACAUUUCUGAAUGCCUUGGAUGUAGGGCUCCACACUCCUGGAUAUUCAACAAACGACCCAGGCGGCGUCUCUGCUGUUCAGUGUGCCCAUCCCUCUACCCUCACGAUGGGUGUCAAUCAUCCUGCAAAGCCCUCCUUUCUUUUGAACCAGGGAAUAGCCUCAGAUUGCUCAGGGACACCACCCCCAAUGGAUGACAGUUGGUGUGGAGGCCAAACCUGUUUGUUCUUGUCCUGGCCCAGGGGAGUAGGGAUGAUGCCAGGGUUCUGUUUAGAAUCCAGCGCAGGGCUACGCAUACUGCCGACAGUGAAUGAGUGACUGCAUGAAUGAAUGCCUAAGGACCUCGGGUACCCGUGCAUUCACCAUAGAUUCUCCUAUGACUCCGAUUAAGACCAGUGGUUUUAAUCAAGGCAGAAUAUCUUCUUUAAACACAAGGAUUAGCCUCUAUGAAAAGAGAAAUGUAAACAGGACUCUAAUUAGAGAAUUUACUAAUUAUUCUUCCCUGCUGAGGACAUUAGCUGGGGUUUAGUCUUUAGCUGUGACAGCCAUACGACUUUCUCUUUAUCUCCAGAAAGGGGGAAAAAUGGACUGGAAAGAUUCAUUUCAAUACCCCGAUUCCUUUCCCGCUCUCUUUCACCCUCAAAUAAAAAAAAAAAAAAAAAAGAUAUUCCAGCAUGAAAGAUCACAGACGCAGCCCCAAACAGCGGACCCAGGCUGAGUGCAUUCAGGAAGCUGCUCACUCCUGGAGCCCCAACUGCUGAGGCAAAGAUAAAUCGGCAGGAAGAUUUCUUUGGAAUGAUGUGAAUUUAAUGAAUCAUGAAAAAUAUCCCCAGCUGUUCUUAAAUUUAAGGGAGAUUGAGUGAUAACAAAAGAUAGUUUCCCUUCCUCUUAGAUGUAGGUUGGAGCGGAAAGAGCUGUGGUUAAAAAAAAAAACCCCUGAGGCCAAAAGCUUGCCUUUUCUUUUCCAUCUCUUCUAUUGUUGAGGGGGAAAAAGCUGUCUGCAGUCAGCAGCCGCUGAAGGGCGUGAUGAAGAGUGUUUGCUGUUCCCAGACUCCAGAACGCUCCACUCGGAUUUCAAAGAUCAGGAGGCAGACGUGUAGAAAGUGACGGAGCCUUCUCUCACCACCCCCCAGCCCCCACACCUCUCAUCCCACACCUCCGUUAAUACACGGACUUGCCGAAAUUAAAAAUAAUGAUCCCCCUUUACCAUCCUAGCUGCUGCAUCCGUCACUAGCCCAGCCCUGGAGAUCUGUGUUAACCCCUUGAUUUGUGUGGGCUCCUAGUCCUGCCUGACCUCAGUGGGUCCCCUUGUGGAUGGAGCUAAGCUUCAGAGAGUCCCAGUUUAGAUCCAGAGAUCAAUGCUGGGGUUGGGGGGCUCUGGGGAAGGUUUGAGGGACAUGAGUGACUUCCUUUCUUUCCUCCUCCUUCCCUUCCAGCCCUCUGCUUCCAGGGGUGCCCUAAAAGAGGCCGAGCCUCACCCUUGGAGGCCAAUCCCUGGGCACAAGGCCCAGGUGCUCAGCCUGCUCUUCUGCUCUGCUAAAGGCCAAAGACAGGUGAAUUCAUUAGGAGUGAAUGCCGACUCACCUGCUACCUUGGGAUCUAUCACCUGUCCUUAGAUCAACUUCCCUUUCCUUCAAGGUGGGACAGCUAAGCACAAUGGGUGCCAAACAAGACUUUUUUUUCCCCUUUAAGGCAAUUUUUAACUUUUAAGUGUAGGUGAGAGAAGCGUUUAAACUAUAGAAAUGCUGGUCUUUCUGUGUGAUUUUUUUAAAAAAUAUUUAUUUUUUUGACAAGCAGAGUUAUAGACGAGAGGGAGAGACAGAGAGAAAGGUCUUCCAUCCGCUGGUUCACUCCCCAGAUGGCCACAAUGGCAAGAGUUGAGCUGAUCCAAAACUAGGAGACAGGAGCUUCUUCUGGGUCUCCCAUGCAGGUGCAGGGGCCCAAGCAUGUGGGCCAUCUUCCACUGCUUUCCCAGGCCAUAAACAGGGAGCUGGAUCAGAAGAGGAGCAGUUGGGACACGCACUGCUGCCCAUAUGGGAUACCAGCACAGCAGGUAGGGGCUUAGCCUACUAUACCACAGUGCCAGCUCUCUAUGUGACUCUUAGAAGGGGAUCAGAGGAGGAGCAUGAAUGAUGAAAAUGAUGAUAAGUCAAAUAUUCAGGACCCACAAUAAAACUGAGGGCCUACAAUAUACUAGAUGCACUUAAAUGCUCUAUGUAUGUGAUACAUGAAAUCCACACACACAAGAACCAACAAAUAAAACACUCCCAUGAAGCUGAUAGUUGUCUCCUGAGCAAGCUGGACGUGGUGAGACUUUAGCAAGAAGAAGAUGAAGAAGAUGUAUUUGUCCCCAUCAAGCUGUCCAAUCCCCAUGGGAUCACUUUUGUUCUUACUGGAUGGUAAGUUAGGAAGAUCUGCAGCCUUGCUGUCAUUUUUCCACAUUAAAAAAAAAAAAAAAAAAAACACCUCAGUCAAGACCAUGAAAUGCUGGCAGAUGGAUAGGCACAAAGGCCAAUGGAGCACAAUAGAUAAGCCAGAAAUAGGCCCACACAAGUACAACCGAUGGAUUAAAAAAAAAAGGUGUAAAAGCAAUUUAGUGGAAGACUGAGACAUUUUUCAACAGAUAGGGCUGGGGCAUUUGAACAUCUGCAGGCCAAAAAUGUACCCACCUGAACUUUACUCCUUAUACAAAAAUUAACUCACAGUGAAAACAUGGUAUGAAUGUACAAUAUAAAAUUACAAAGCUUUCAGAAGAAAAUGUAGGGGAAAAUCUCUAAGACCCACAGUUUGGUAAAGAGUUCUUACAUUUGACACCCAAAUUUGAUUCAUGAAAGAAAAACAAAUGAUAAAUUGGAUGAGAGAUAAAUUAUAGAUGAGGGAAGACACUUGCAAACCACUUAUCUGGAUAAAAGGCUUGUAUUAAGAACUCUCAAAACUUCACAGUUUUUAAAUAGGCAGACAAUUCAAUCAUAAAGUGGACAAAAUACAUGAACAAACAUUCCACCAAAUGAGAUAUACAGACGUCUGUUAAAAGAGAACAUGUAGUGCAGGUAUUGUGAUACAGUGGGUUAAACCACUGCUUGGGACGCCCACGUCCCAUAUUGGUUAGAGUGUAGGUUUGUGUCCUGGCUGUGUUCCUGCUUCCAGCUUCCUGGUAAUGCACACCCUAGGAGGCCCAGGUGAUGGCCCAAGUACUUGAGUUCCUGCUAUUCAUGUGGGAGAUGCAAAUAGAGUUCCUGGCCCAGCCCAGGCAGGUGCAGGUAUUUGGGGGAAUAAACCAGUGGAUCUUCUAGUAUGAAGCAUUAUUUUACAGUCCAAUAUAAAAACUGUACUAUCUCACCAAAAUUGAAGCUUCUUACUUCUCUAGUACUGCAUGUCAGUCUUGAUCUAGGCACAGAAAUCUGCUAUAUUACUAGGGUAGGCCGAGCAUCCUGUGGCAGUAAAACAAAGCAAAACAAAGUUCCCUAGAAUCUUAAUACUUUGCACAAUGAAAGUUUGUCACUCAUAUCCUCUGAAGGUUGGGCAGUUGUGUUCCAUGCAGUGACUCAGGGAUCCAGGCUCUGCCAUCUUUGACCUCUGGCCUCUGUGAUCACCUUGUGGAGAGAAGACAAAGAGUGGAGGAUCCCACAGAGGACUUUCUGGCUAAGUCUGGAAGUGUCCCGUAUCACUCCUACCUCCAUUCCAUCCCAGAAGUUAGGCACAGGAAACCAGUUUCACUCAAGUGGAGCUGGAAGUAGUCUUCCUGCAUGUCCAGGGAUAUGCAGCAUGGUUGGAGUAGGGAUCUUGUGCUGGGAGGAAAGGUUCUACAUUUCCUGCAGAGGGAAAGAUGACACAGUUAAUUUCUUUUCUCCUCCUCUGUCACAUCUGUUGAGUCUGGUCCCCGCCUCAGGGAGGUGAGGAAUGAGUAAAAGAAUAAGAACAAUGCCUUCCAUGGCCUUUGGUGGUAUAGCUUGGGAUGGGCUCCAGGUGUGGCUCAAAUGCUGGUUCUUUUCCUCCUAAGGCAUCUGCUUGGGUAUUCCAGAGACACUGUUCUCCUCCGUGGGGCCUUUCACUGCACCACUGCUUGGCACAGUGAUUCACCCUGAGCUGACAGUGUGACAGCCUCUCAUCUUCUGUACCCAGAGGUGUGCUCAAGCCACUUUCUAUCUAUUGGAGUCAUCUCCAUCCUGCCAUGCAAGGCAGGCCUGGUGAUUCCUCUUGGACAAGAUGAGUCAAGCCUGCCCCACAGGAAAGCUCAGUGUCUUUGCACCACCCAGAGCUGGCAGUACAGGCUGUUCCUGGCUUGGCCCUCCUUACCUGCGUGGCCUUCAGAAGAAGCUUUUACCAGACUCAUGGCUUAGGCUGUGUUGGGUCAGAGUCAAACAGCCCAGGCUUCCUGCUUCCACAGCCCCUCCCUUUGCUCUCUGCUAGGACCCCAGAGUCGCCUCGCUUGGCUUGAGGAAGGAAACUUCCUUUCUCUCUGUGUGUGGAUGAGCAGGAAGGGAAACAUCCAUCCUCUCUUAUUCAAAGCAAUUUCCUGGUCUCCUGUUACAUAAAGGCAAGAGUUAGGUGAGGGACUGCAGGGCCCAUGCCCAUCUGUUAGCAAGCCCCACAUGGCUGCUCUUCUCUGCUUAGAAUAUGUUGUUGUUUAAUACCCAUGAGCUUAACGGCCAUUGUGCAGAGACUUGCAACGGUUGCAUUUCACUUCCUUUUAAAUAGCAUCAUUUCCAUUUUAUAGAUGCAGAUUUUGAAGUUCAAAAUGGGCAAGGAAUGUGUGCAAAGUCACACAGCUGUACAGUGGUGUAUUAGAUUUCAAGAGCUGAGGUGGGUAAGAUACAACAGCUAGCAUAAAGAAAAGGAAUGUAAAAUAUCUACUUUGGGUAAGUCAAUGUGUUAAGCGAGUGAAGGAGAGUGGGGCCGAUGUACUGCUAGCUGGGCAUUAGUAAAGCAAGAAGAAGUAAGUUCUCUCUCUAAUUUUUCCCACUAUUUUCUUUGCACUCCCAUUCUAACAUACCUAAUUCUUCACAUGAUUUUCUCCAAUCACCCAAAUUCUGGGCCAAAACUCAGCCUCAGCACCACCUCCUAAUGGUCAUUGGUAUAGUCCUUGUGGAGUAGGAAGACAAAAUUAUGAUUUAAACAGCUGUAACUAGGGGCUUUGUAGAAAAUGAACUUUGUGCAGGAAGAUCAUUUGAAGCCUUCAGGGCAUGAAUUAGAAGGUGCUUGUAAAGCAAAGCAAAGCUGUUGGUCCUGGGUAAGACCUGGAACAGGACUGUGGGGGAUGGGGGAGAGCGGAGAGGUAGAUGACAGAGAAGCUCACUGCCAAGGAGUUGCAGAGCCGAGCAGUAAUGAAGGACAUUGAGGUCAAAAACAUCCAAUAGCAAUGACAUUGCUUGAAGGACAAACUGUUCCCAGUCCCUAGAACUUUGGGUUAAGAUUUCUGAACAUUGCUGGAGAGAGUAUGGUUAGGAAUCAACGUCAGAGCAGCCUUUCUAAGUCCAAGAUCAUGAGGGAUACAAAGUGGAGAAGCUGGGUGCCAAGAGAGGAGCGAGCCCAGGAACUCGUUGAACACAAGCUUGGGGACACGAUUGCCCUGAGACGCUCACCCCAGGAUUGCAGCAAUCUUGAGUAGGGCAGUAGACUUUCCGCCAGACAUCGCAGAGUCAGCUUGAGCUAAUUUAAUCUAAAUCUCAUGUGACAGGGCCACUGCAGCUGACAUCUGGGUUGCGCUCAAAUAAUCAACCAUCCUUUUAAGAAUCUACUUCGUAACUCCUUCCUUGCUAAGCUUUUUUGCUCAAAAGAAUGGUCCUGAAAUUACUCCUACUUAAUUUUCCAUGCCCAGCCUUUGUGAGGAGGUGCUAGAGAGGAAGAAAAUCAACAUAAGAGAGUCAGAUGAAGGAAGGGGAACCACGUGGCGUGAGUAAUAGGAUAAAUUGGCGAUCAGCUCACCGUAAUUAAGUGUGAUCAGUGAGUUAGCAGAAAGCUUGUUCUGUGUGCUUAUGGGUGUAGGUUGCACUGGAGGUCGGUGCUUCCCAAAUUUCAGUGUUCACACAAAUCUCAUGCGGAUGCUUUCCAGGGUGCUUGGCGGGGAAUGAGACUGCAUCGCUGACGCCUUGUAAGGGAUCCCACAGCUGCUUAGCUGAGUACCCUAGUCUGAGUAACAAGGUGUAGAGCCUGGGGCAGUUGCCUUCUAAAGGCCUCGAAGGUGCCAAAGGAAAGAGGUGAUGGAAAAACUGGAGUGUAGAUGAGAAAAGCAAAGACUAGAAAAACCGUAAUGACAACAUAGAACCAGGAAUCUCCCGGAGCAGGAAAAAGAAGUCACCCAUAAUGGUUCCAGAAGUCCUUGCUUCUUUUUUUUUUUUUUU